rnacentral:miRNA from 1 species
GGGACUCGGCUCAGACACUU